rnacentral:rRNA from 1 species
ACACAUGCAGUCGAACGUGAGAGGGUACUUGUAUCCUUGAAAGUGGCGGACGGGUGAGUAAGACGUAGGUGACCUGCCUCGAAGUGGGGGAUAACCAUUGGAAACGGUGGCUAAUACCGCAUGAGCUGGUGAAGAUGGGAAUCUUUAUCAGGAAAGGUUUACUGCUUUGAGAGGGGCCUACGGCCGAUUAGCUAGUUGGUGAGGUAAAGGCUCACCAAGGCGAUGAUCGGUAGCUGGUCUGAGAGGACGAUCAGCCACACGGGAACUGAGACACGGUCCCGACUCCUACGGGGGGCAGCAGUGAGGAAUAUUCGGCAAUGGGGGCAACCCUGACCGAGCAACGCCGCGUGGAGGAUGACGGUUUUUGGAUUGUAAACUCCUUUUCUCAGGGAAGAGUGAGGACGGUACCUGAGGAAUAAGUCACGGCUAACUACGUGCCAGCAGCCGCGGUAAUACGUAGGUGGCAAGCGUUAUCCGGAAUUACUGGGCGUAAAGCGCACGCAGGCGGUUGGAUAAGAUUGACGUGAAAGCUUCUUGGCUUAACCGGAAGAAGUCGUUGAUGACUGUCCG